rnacentral:rRNA from 1 species
UGAACGCUGGCGGCAGGCCUAACACAUGCAAGUCGAGCGGUAGCACAGAGAGCUUGCUCUCGGGUGACGAGCGGCGGACGGGUGAGUAAUGUCUGGGAAACUGCCUGAUGGAGGGGGAUAACUACUGGAAACGGUAGCUAAUACCGCAUAAUGUCGCAAGACCAAAGUGGGGGACCUUCGGGCCUCAUGCCAUCAGAUGUGCCCAGAUGGGAUUAGCUAGUAGGUGGGGUAACGGCUCACCUAGGCGACGAUCCCUAGCUGGUCUGAGAGGAUGACCAGCCACACUGGAACUGAGACACGGUCCAGACUCCUACGGGAGGCAGCAGUGGGGAAUAUUGCACAAUGGGCGCAAGCCUGAUGCAGCCAUGCCGCGUGUGUGAAGAAGGCCUUCGGGUUGUAAAGCACUUUCAGCGGGGAGGAAGGCGGUAAGGUUAAUAACCUCAUCGAUUGACGUUACCCGCAGAAGAAGCACCGGCUAACUCCGUGCCAGCAGCCGCGGUAAUACGGAGGGUGCAAGCGUUAAUCGGAAUUACUGGGCGUAAAGCGCACGCAGGCGGUCUGUCAAGUCGGAUGUGAAAUCCCCGGGCUCAACCUGGGAACUGCAUUCGAAACUGGCAGGCUAGAGUCUUGUAGAGGGGGGUAGAAUUCCAGGUGUAGCGGUGAAAUGCGUAGAGAUCUGGAGGAAUACCGGUGGCGAAGGCGGCCCCCUGGACAAAGACUGACGCUCAGGUGCGAAAGCGUGGGGAGCAAACAGGAUUAGAUACCCUGGUAGUCCACGCCGUAAACGAUGUCGAUUUGGAGGUUGUGCCCUUGAGGCGUGGCUUCCGGAGCUAACGCGUUAAAUCGACCGCCUGGGGAGUACGGCCGCAAGGUUAAAACUCAAAUGAAUUGACGGGGGCCCGCACAAGCGGUGGAGCAUGUGGUUUAAUUCGAUGCAACGCGAAGAACCUUACCUGGUCUUGACAUCCACAGAACUUUCCAGAGAUGGAUUGGUGCCUUCGGGAACUGUGAGACAGGUGCUGCAUGGCUGUCGUCAGCUCGUGUUGUGAAAUGUUGGGUUAAGUCCCGCAACGAGCGCAACCCUUAUCCUUUGUUGCCAGCGGUCCGGCCGGGAACUCAAAGGAGACUGCCAGUGAUAAACUGGAGGAAGGUGGGGAUGACGUCAAGUCAUCAUGGCCCUUACGACCAGGGCUACACACGUGCUACAAUGGCAUAUACAAAGAGAAGCGACCUCGCGAGAGCAAGCGGACCUCAUAAAGUAUGUCGUAGUCCGGAUUGGAGUCUGCAACUCGACUCCAUGAAGUCGGAAUCGCUAGUAAUCGUAGAUCAGAAUGCUACGGUGAAUACGUUCCCGGGCCUUGUACACACCGCCCGUCACACCAUGGGAGUGGGUUGCAAAAGAAGUAGGUAGCUUAACCUUCGGGAGGGCGCUUACCACUUUGUGAUUCAUGACUGGGGUGAAGUCGUAACAAGGUAACCGUAGGGGAACCUGCGGCUGGAUCACCU